UGCUCACGCCCAGUGCAGGGCUCUAUAGGU
rnacentral:piRNA from 1 species